UUUUCCAAGUGGAAAGCGUGGUUCGUUUUAUUCAGUCGGCUUACUCGGUGGAAAUAGACUAUCUAGACUUUGUUGUUGACCAGAAAGGAGUUUGUCACUGCUCGGAUUCUUCUGGUUGUGCUACAACGCUUCACCAUCGCCAUUUUGAAGCUCCAGGAGAGCCCAUUUUGUUGGUUACUUUGGUCAGGUUUUUUUUUGGGAGUACAGUUCGGUGAUGAUCCGGUCCAAAGAUGGUGAGCCACCCCUCCAGGAUCCUUGAGAUGAUUGUUUUAAGAAGAGAACUAAAUUCUUUGGACGAGCCGUGAACUGUACAAAUUCUACUUAAGUGGUAGGACAGAUUUGCACCUCAUUCCUCCUUUGCACAUCCUGCAAGGAGAAUCCUCAUUGCUGGACUCACACUUAAGGGUGUCGGCUGACACGAGAGAGAGACUGAUUCAAAUCCCCCGGGGUGUGUGUGUUUUGUUUAUUAUUUUCCAUGACUUGGGCCCAAUUUUUCCUUUCAUGUACUGUUAUUGUUUUCAUUGUAUGUAUGUGAGAUUCUUU